rnacentral:misc_RNA from 1 species
UCCGUCUUGACGACGGCAGUCUCACUAGAGUGCCCGGCUUUAUCCGAUGGCAACUAGUGACAAGGGUUGCGCUCGUUGCGGGACUUAACCCAACAUCUCACGACACGAGCUGACGACAGCCAUGCAGCACCUCGACAUCUGCCCUUGCGGGAGCCUGCUUUCGCAGGAUGUCAGAUGCCGUUCGAGCCUGGGUAAGGUUCUUCGCGUUGCGUCGAAUUGAACCACAUGCUCCACCGCUUGUGCGGGCCCCCGUCAAUUCCUUUGAGUUUCAACCUUGCGGUCGUACUCCCCAGGCGGGGUACUUCCUGCGUUAGCGCCGGCACCCAGAGGGUCGCUCCCCCAGGCACCUAGUACCCAUCGUUUACGGCGUGGACUAC